CCUACGGGGGGCAGCAGUGGGGAAUAUUGGACAAUGGGGGGAACCCUGAUCCAGCCAUGCCGCGUGUGUGAAGAAGGCCCUCGGGUUGUAAAGCACUUUCAGUGAGGAAGAACGCCUGGUGGUUAAUACCCAUCAGGAAAGACAUCACUCACAGAAGAAGCACCGGCUAACUCCGUGCCAGCAGCCGUGGUAAUACGGAGGGUGCGAGCGUUAAUCGGAAUUACUGGGCGUAAAGCGCGCGUAGGUGGCUUGAUAAGCCGGUUGUGAAAGCCCCGGGCUCAACCUGGGAACGGCAUCCAGAACUGUCGAGGUAGAGGGCAGGAGAGGAAGGUAGAAUUCCCGGUGGAGCGGUGAAAUGCGUAGAGGUCGGGAGGAAUACCAGUGGCGAAGGCGGCCUUACUGACUGACACUGACACUGAGGUGGGUAUGGGUGGGUAGCAAGCCGGAGGAGAUACCCGAGUAGUC
rnacentral:rRNA from 1 species